rnacentral:rRNA from 1 species
AACGAACGCUAGCGGCAUGCUUAACACAUGCAAGUCGAACGGUAGAGGAAGCUUGCUUCCUUGAGAGUGGCAGACGGGUGAGUAACACGUGGGAACGUACCUUUCGGUCUGGGAUAACUUUUGGAAACGAAAGCUAAUACCGGAUGGUCCCUAAGGGGUAAAGGUUUACUGCCGAGAGAGCGGCCCGCGUAAGAUUAGGUAGUUGGUUGGGUAAUGGCUGACCAAGCCUGUGAUCUUUAGCUGGUUUGAGAGGAUGAUCAGCCACACUGGGACUGAGACACGGCCCAGACUCCUACGGGAGGCAGCAGUGGGGAAUAUUGGACAAUGGGGGCAACCCUGAUCCAGCAAUGCCGCGUGAGUGAUGAAGGCCUUCGGGUUGUAAAGCUCUUUUGUAAGGGAAGAUAAUGACGGUACCUUACGAAUAAGCCCCGGCUAACUUCGUG